AGAGUUUGAUCCUGGCUCAGGAUGAACGCUGGCGGCGUGCUUAACACAUGCAAGUCGAACGAACCUUCGGGUUAGUGGCGGACGGGUGAGUAACGCGUGAGAAUCUGCCCUCAGGAGGGGGAUAACGGCUGGAAACGGCCGCUAAUACCCCAUAUGCCGAGAGGUGAAAUGAAUUUCGCCUGAGGAUGAGCUCGCGUCUGAUUAGCUAGUUGGUGGGGUAAGAGCCUACCAAGGCAUCGAUCAGUAGCUGGUCUGAGAGGAUGAUCAGCCACACUGGGACUGAGACACGGCCCAGACUCCUACGGGAGGCAGCAGUGGGGAAUUUUCCGCAAUGGGCGAAAGCCUGACGGAGCAACGCCGCGUGAGGGAUGAAGGCCUCUGGGCUGUAAACCUCUUUUAUCAAGGAAGAAGAUCUGACGGUACUUGAUGAAUAAGCCACGGCUAAUUCCGUGCCAGCAGCCGCGGUAAUACGGGAGUGGCAAGCGUUAUCCGGAAUUAUUGGGCGUAAAGCGUCCGCAGGCGGUCUUGUAAGUCUGUCGUUAAAGCGUGGAGCUUAACUCCAUUUCGGCGGUGGAAACUACAAGACUAGAGUGUGGUAGGGGCAGAGGGAAUUCCCGGUGUAGCGGUGAAAUGCGUAGAUAUCGGGAAGAACACCAGUGGCGAAGGCGCUCUGCUGGGCCAUAACUGACGCUCAUGGACGAAAGCCAGGGGAGCGAAAGGGAUUAGAUACCCCUGUAGUCCUGGCCGUAAACGAUGAACACUAGGUGUCGGGGGAAUCGACCCCCUCGGUGUCGUAGCCAACGCGUUAAGUGUUCCGCCUGGGGAGUACGCACGCAAGUGUGAAACUCAAAGGAAUUGACGGGGGCCCGCACAAGCGGUGGAGUAUGUGGUUUAAUUCGAUGCAACGCGAAGAACCUUACCAGGGUUUGACAUCCUGCGAAUCUCUUGGAAACGAGAGAGUGCCUUCGGGAACGCAGUGACAGGUGGUGCAUGGCUGUCGUCAGCUCGUGUCGUGAGAUGUUGGGUUAAGUCCCGCAACGAGCGCAACCCACGUCUUUAGUUGCCAGCAUUUAGUUGGGCACUCUAGAGAGACCGCCGGUGAUAAACCGGAGGAAGGUGUGGAUGACGUCAAGUCAUCAUGCCCCUUACAUCCUGGGCUACACACGUACUACAAUGCUACGGACAAAGGGCAGCAAACUCGCGAGAGCUAGCAAAUCCCAUAAACCGUGGCUCAGUUCAGAUCGUAGGCUGCAACUCGCCUACGUGAAGGAGGAAUCGCUAGUAAUCGCAGGUCAGCAUACUGCGGUGAAUACGUUCCCGGGCCUUGUACACACCGCCCGUCACACCAUGGAAGUUGGCCACGCCCGAAGUCGUUACUCCAACCCUUGUGGAGGAGGAUGCCGAAGGUGGGGCUGAUGACUGGGGUGAAGUCGUAACAAGGUAGCCGUACCGGAAGGUGCGGCUG
rnacentral:rRNA from 1 species